GCAUGUGAUAGGAGCAGUGCAUGAUAUGAGGAUCGGAAUGUAGGCAAGCGGGACACUAGACGGAUGGAGAGAGAAAAUAACAGGGUUCAUGAUAUGAAGUCCCAGGGAACUGAGGAUAAUUGCCUGGGUGUUCCCACUCUAAUGAUAUUGGAGGCGAGGGACUCUUUGAAGAUCAGAUGGGUCAUUCGAGGACAACCUCCCCAUUCACUGUGAACGAAGGCAAGAUUACCUCGGAACAAGUGUGCACAAAAACAAGCCAUGCCCUGAAAUGCUCCCUUCACGUAGGGAGGGAAAGCGCGGCAGGGACUCUCAAACCACUCCUAUUACCAAGGCUUUUUAAAACAUGCAAGAUAAACUCUGCAGGGAAACAAAGUUUAAUACAAGUUGUCAAGUUUGUGCCGUCAUAGCAAAGUGCAGUCAGUGUUUCUGGGUGAUCAAGGAAAUAAAAAACAGUAAUUGAAAUUCAGAAAGUAAUUAAAUACGUCCAGAAAAGAAAACUUUGAAUAAAUGGAGAGACAGUAUAUUAUAAUUAAAGGUAUAUUACACAAAUAUUUUGAAAUAGUGUCAAUUACAGUUUUUGUUUUUUUUGGAAAUUGUUAUUGAUGUUUUGUAAUGUAAUGUAAUCAGAAGUCAGAGAAUUGCAUUAUUUAAGUGUUAUUUUUUGGUAAUGCCAAGUCCCAUGAUUAGUUAUGAUGUGAACAGUGUGGGGCGAUACUGGGGUGAUACAGUAUAUAAUUUUCCUAUGGCAG